GAGAUAAGUACUAAGAAUGUGGUCGAUUGGGCUUGAGUCCCCUCACAAACUUAUACUGGAUAACCCAGCAGGAGACUUCGCGUGCUGAACACUCCCCCGUGUGAUUCCCACAAUGAAAGGACAUUGCUGACUGGAACCAGAAGAGCCAAGAAAACCCAGGGAGGCCAGUUUACACCCGUUACCCACUGGAUUUGAAAAGGAUGGUCACUUCCUUCCGGUAGUGGAUGACUACUUUGUCAAGAAAUUGAAGGGUUUGGGAACUCCCUUCGCCUUGUGCAAUUUGACACAUUUUAUAUUUAUGAAUGAAUGUUGCAAAAA
rnacentral:lncRNA from 1 species